rnacentral:rRNA from 1 species
GACGUAGGGGGCCAGCGUUGUUCGGAAUUAUUGGGCGUAAAGAGCUCGUAGGCGGUUUGUCACGUCUGCUGUGAAAUCCCGAGGCUCAACCUCGGGCCUGCAGUGGGUACGGGCAGACUGGAGUGCGGUAGGGGAGAAUGGAAUUCCUGGUGUAGCGGUGGAAUGCGCAGAUAUCAGGAGGAACACCGAUGGCGAAGGCAGUUCUCUGGGCCGUAACUGACGCUGAGGAGCGAAAGCGUGGGGAGCGAACAGG